GAUAAAAUUUGUGGCCUUUCUCUCCUGUUUGAUUAUCAUUUUUGCCUUUUCUAAAAUUAAUAGGAGGAAACACCAAUUGGAAGCCUCCGCUCAACUGUAAGAUUUAUAAUUACCUGAACAGGAUUGGAUGCUUCUUCCUUCAUCCUCGCUGUAGUAAAAGAAAAGAUGCUGCUGAUUUUGCCAUAUGUAUGCAUGCUGGCCGUCUAGAUGAACAACUACCCAAGCAAAUUCCUUUCACCAUCCUCUCAGGAGAUCAAGGUUUUCUGGAGCUAGAGAAUCAAUUUAAGAAGACUCAGAGGCCAGCUCAUAUACUAAACCCUCACCACUUAGAGGGAGAUAUGAUGUGUGCCUUGUUAAAUAGCAUAUCUGAUACCACCAAAGGUACGCAGCUGCAGUCACAGUGCAAACCACCCAAGAGGAGGAGACUUCACUGCUGAGAGAAACCAAUAAACUGCUGUCCGCUAGUGAACUGUUGCCUGCUUACUAAACCAUCA
rnacentral:sRNA from 1 species